rnacentral:rRNA from 18 species
AUAAAUAAGAGUUUGAUCCUGGCUCAGAUUGAACGCUAGCGGUAUGCUUUACACAUGCAAGUCGAACGACAAUAUUAAAGCUUGCUUUAAUAUAAAGUGGCGAACGGGUGAGUAAUAUAUCAAAACGUACCUUAAAGUGGGGGAUAACUAAUUGAAAAAUUAGAUAAUACCGCAUAUUAAUCUUAGGAUGAAAAUAGGAAUAAUAUCUUAUGCUUUUAGAUCGGUUGAUAUCUGAUUAGCUAGUUGGUAGGGUAAAUGCUUACCAAGGCAAUGAUCAGUAGCUGGUUUUAGCGAAUGAUCAGCCACACUGGAACUGAGACACGGUCCAGACUUCUACGGAAGGCAGCAGUGGGGAAUAUUGGACAAUGGGAGAAAUCCUGAUCCAGCAAUACCGCGUGAGUGAUGAAGGCCUUAGGGUCGUAAAACUCUUUUGUUAGGAAAGAAAUAAUUUUAAAUAAUAUUUAAAAUUGAUGACGGUACCUAAAGAAUAAGCACCGGCUAACUACGUGCCAGCAGCCGCGGUAAUACGUAGGGUGCAAGCGUUAAUCGGAAUUAUUGGGCGUAAAGAGUGCGUAGGCUGUUAUAUAAGAUAGAUGUGAAAUACUUAAGCUUAACUUAAGAACUGCAUUUAUUACUGUUUAACUAGAGUUUAUUAGAGAGAAGUGGAAUUUUAUGUGUAGCAGUGAAAUGCGUAGAUAUAUAAAGGAAUAUCGAUGGCGAAGGCAGCUUCUUGGAAUAAUACUGACGCUGAGGCACGAAAGCGUGGGGAGCAAACAGGAUUAGAUACCCUGGUAGUCCACGCCCUAAACUAUGUCUACUAGUUAUUAAAUUAAAAAUAAAAUUUAGUAACGUAGCUAACGCAUUAAGUAGACCGCCUGGGGAGUACGAUCGCAAGAUUAAAACUCAAAGGAAUUGACGGGGACCCGCACAAGCGGUGGAUGAUGUGGAUUAAUUCGAUGCAACACGAAAAACCUUACCUACUCUUGACAUGUUUGGAAUUUUAAAGAAAUUUAAAAGUGCUUGAAAAAGAACCAAAACACAGGUGCUGCAUGGCUGUCGUCAGCUCGUGUCGUGAGAUGUUGGGUUAAGUCCCGCAACGAGCGCAACCCUUGUUAUUAUUUGCUAAUAAAAAGAACUUUAAUAAGACUGCCAAUGACAAAUUGGAGGAAGGUGGGGAUGACGUCAAGUCCUCAUGGCCCUUAUGAGUAGGGCUUCACACGUCAUACAAUGAUAUAUACAAUGGGUAGCAAAUUUGUGAAAAUGAGCCAAUCCUUAAAGUAUAUCUUAGUUCGGAUUGUAGUCUGCAACUCGACUACAUGAAGUUGGAAUCGCUAGUAAUCGCGGAUCAGCAUGCCGCGGUGAAUACGUUCUCGGGUCUUGUACACACCGCCCGUCACACCAUGGAAGUGAUUUUUACCAGAAAUUAUUUGUUUAACCUUUAUUGGAAAAAAAUAAUUAAGGUAGAAUUCAUGACUGGGGUGAAGUCGUAACAAGGUAGCAGUAUCGGAAGGUGCGGCUGGAUUACAUUUUAA